rnacentral:rRNA from 1 species
UAGGGAAUCUUCCGCAAUGGACGCAAGUCUGACGGAGCAACGCCGCGUGAGUGAAGAAGGAUUUCGGUUCGUAAAACUCUGUUGUUAGAGAAGAACAGCGCAUAGAGUAACUGUUAUGCGUGUGACGGUAUCUAACCAGAAAGCCACGGCUAACUACGUGCCAGCAGCCGCGGUAAUACGUAGGUGGCAAGCGUUGUCCGGAUUUAUUGGGCGUAAAGCGAGCGCAGGCGGUCAAUUAAGUCUGAUGUGAAAGCCCCCGGCUCAACCGGGGAGGGUCAGUGGAAACUGGUUGACUUGAGUGCAGAAGAGGAGAGUGGAAUUCCAUGUGUAGCGGUGAAAUGCGUAGAUAUAUGGAGGAACACCAGUGGCGAAGGCGACUCGCUGGUCUGUAACUGACGCUGAGGCUCGAAAGCGUGGGUAGCAAACAGG